GGUGAUUGAGAAGAGGAAGUCUUCAUCAAAAUAGUAGCGGAUUCAGUGAUAUUGAAGGGAAGAUUUUGGGUUCGAUUUGUUGUAGGUGAGAUCAGCCGGGCCGAGGGUUUGAAGAACUGAGAGUUAUUCAACAAAGGGGCUGGAAUCGGAGGUGUGUCAACAACAAUCGAAGGACUUGAUUCACCUUGAAUCAAGGAACAAGGAGUGGAAGCAACAUUCAACGUCUUGAGAAUUCUGUUGUAUAAUUGCGUUUCAAUCCUUGUAUAAACUGUUAUACUCAACAAGUGAUAUCUAUUAAAGCAAUCUCAAUUCUAGUUUUAGAAUUGAGGGCAGACGUACCCCGAAGCGAGGACGACGGG
rnacentral:lncRNA from 1 species